rnacentral:rRNA from 1 species
CGAUUUCGGAGAGGGAGCAUGAGAAACGGCUACCACAUCUAAGGAAGGCAGCAGGCGCGUAAAUUACCCAAUCCUGACUCAGGGAGGUAGUGACAAGAAAUAGCAAACCGGGAACCUCAUGGUUUCACGGUAUUGCAAUGAGAACAAUUUAAAACCCUUAGCGAGAAUCAAGUGGAGGACAAGUCUGGUGCCAGCACCCGCGGUAAUUCCAGCUCCACUAGCGUAUAUUAAAGUUGUUGCAGUUAAAAAGCUCGUAGUUGAACCUCUGUCUGGGGCUAGUUUUGGCUUUGGUCAGGCUAGUUCUAGGCAUCCGCCUACAAGACUUAGAGGGCAUUCAGUUGUUCACUAGGAGGAGUAGGCAUUCUACUUUGAAAAAAUUAGAGUGUUUAAGGCAGGCAAUCGCCCGCAUAUAUUAGCAUGGAAUAAUAGAAUAGGACACUUUUCCAUUUCGUUGGUUAUUGGAAUCGUGUAAUGAUUAAUAGGGACAGUUGUGGGCAUUUGUAUUUAAUUGUCAGAGGUGAAAUUCUUGGAUUUAUUAAAGACAAACUAACGCGAAAGCAUUUGCCAAGGAUGUUUUCAUUAAUCAAGAACGAAAGUUAGGGGAUCAAAGACGAUCAGAUACCGUCCUAGUCUUAACUAUAAACUAUUCCGACUCAAUGUUUGACUGGCUUAUAUAACCAGUUGAGCGUUGUAUGAGAAAUCAAAGUCUUUAGGUUCUGGGGGGAGUAUGGUUGCAAAGCUGAAACUUAUAGGAAUUGACGGAAGAGCACAACCAGGAGUGGAUUCUGCGGCUUAAUUUGACUCAACACGGGGAAACUUACCAGGUUAAAACAAUAGUGGGAUUGACAGUUUGAGAGCGCUUUCUUGAUUGGUUGGGUGGUGGUGCAUGGCCGUUCUUAGUUGGUGGAGUGAUUUGUCUGCUUAAUUGCGUUAACGAACGAGACCUUAACCUGCUUACUAGACUGGCGAUCAUCAAUCGUUAGCUCUUCUUAGAGGGACUUUGGUUGUUUUAACUCCAAGGAAGUUUGAGGCAAUAACAGGUCUGUGAUGCCCUUAGAUAUCCUGGGCCGCACGCGUCAUACAAUGACUAGUCCAGAAAGUUUUCUCCUGACCCGAAAGGGGAUGGGUAAUCUUGAUAAUACUAGUCGUGUUAGGGACCGAUCUUUGCAAUUAUAGAUCUUGAACGAGGAAUUCCUAGUAAGUGCGGUUCAUCAGACCGUACUGAUUACGUCCCUGCUCUUUGUACACACCGCCCGUCGCUUCUACCGAGUGGGUGGUCCGGUGAGAUAAUUGAACUUCGCAGGUAACUGAGAGGAAAGAUUGUCAAACCUAUCCACCUCGAGGAAGAAGAAGUCGUAACAAGGUU